UCGAGCGGAACGAUGGGAGCUUGCUCCCUGAUGUUAGCGGCGGACGGGUGAGUAACACGUGGGUAACCUGCCUGUAAGACUGGGAUAACUCCGGGAAACCGGGGCUAAUACCGGAUGGUUGUCUGAACCGCAUGGUUCAGACAUAAAACGUGGCUUCGGCUACCACUUACAGAUGGACCCGCGGCGCAUUAGCUAGUUGGUGAGGUAACGGCUCACCAAGGCGACGAUGCGUAGCCGACCUGAGAGGGUGAUCGGCCACACUGGGACUGAGACACGGCCCAGACUCCUACGGGAGGCAGCAGUAGGGAAUCUUCCGCAAUGGACGAAAGUCUGACGGAGCAACGCCGCGUGAGUGAUGAAGG
rnacentral:rRNA from 1 species